AAAUCAGUUAUCGUUUAUUUGAUAGUACCUUACUACUUGGAUAACCGUGGUAAUUCUAGAGCUAAUACAUGCUGAAAACCCUGACUUCGGAAAGGGUGUAUUUAUUAGAUAAAAAACCAAUGCCCUUUGGGCUCUUUGGUGAUUCAUGAUAACUUAACGGAUCGCAUGGCCUUGCGCCGGCGACGGUUCAUUCAAAUUUCUGCCCUAUCAACUUUCGAUGGUAAGGUAUUGGCUUACCAUGGUUUCAACGGGUAACGGGGAAUUAGGGUUCGAUUCCGGAGAGGGAGCCUGAGAAACGGCUACCACAUCCAAGGAAGGCAGCAGGCGCGCAAAUUACCCAAUCCCGACACGGGGAGGUAGUGACAAUAAAUACUGAUACAGGGCUCUUUUGGGUCUUGUAAUCGGAAUGAGUACAAUUUAAACCUCUUAACGAGGAACAAUUGGAGGGCAAGUCUGGUGCCAGCAGCCGCGGUAAUUCCAGCUCCAAUAGCGUAUAUUAAAGUUGUUGCAGUUAAAAAGCUCGUAGUUGAAUCUUGGGCCUGGCUGGCCGGUCCGCCUCACCGCGUGUACUGGUCUGGCCGGGCCUUUCCUUCUGGAGAACCUCAUGCCCUUCAGUGGGUGUGUUGGGGAACCAGGACUUUUACUUUGAAAAAAUUAGAGUGUUCAAAGCAGGCCUUUGCUCGAAUACGUUAGCAUGGAAUAAUAGAAUAGGACGUGCGGUCCUAUUUUGUUGGUUUCUAGGACCGCCGUAAUGAUUAAUAGGGAUAGUCGGGGGCAUCAGUAUUCAAUUGUCAGAGGUGAAAUUCUUGGAUUUAUUGAAGACUAACUACUGCGAAAGCAUUUGCCAAGGAUGUUUUCAUUAAUCAGUGAACGAAAGUUAGGGGAUCGAAGACGAUCAGAUACCGUCGUAGUCUUAACCGUAAACUAUGCCGACUAGGGAUCGGGCGAUGUUUCUAUCUUGACUCGCUCGGCACCUUACGAGAAAUCAAAGUUUUUGG
rnacentral:rRNA from 1 species